AAGAUAUGUUGUAAAAGUUUCUAGACAAUUAUAAAAAAUCAGCAUGGGACAAAGCAAGCUUAUUCACUAUGUCAACAAUUCCACCAACAUGUGGACCCCGAAGGAUAAAGACACUAACUAACAAAAGGAAAAAAUAACAAAUAUAUUCAUUGAAGAUAAAAUUUCAGCAAAAGAAGAUAUAAAUGCAAUGAAGGCUACGUAAGUAGUAUAAGCUAAUAUGACAUCUAUUCCAAGACAGUACAAUUAUCAUCAAUUAUUUGUAAAUAGUUAGUAGACACAUGUACAAAUAAUAAUAUGUAUUUGUGUAUACACACAUGUAAAAUUGAUAGCAUAAUAAAUAAUAUUAAUUAGAACUUUUGAGGCCUAUUUAAGAUUCUAAACUUGUAAUAGUAGAGGCAAUAAAAAUCUUACUGAUUUUGAAAAACCUCUCUACACUUUCUCCAAUUUCCCAUAUUAUGCAUUUUCCCAUCUUUGUUCUCUUUUUCCGUAAAUCAAUAAAAAUUUGUAAGUAUAAACUUUCUAUACUCAUUUUAAUUGUUAAGUUUAUGUUUUAAAAUUACAAUAUAUGUUCGUUUACUAUUUUUUCGCUCCUGUGUUUACAUUGAGUUUUCUUAAAGUUUUAUUUUAAUGUUUACUUGUUCUUGCUCCUUCCGUUACACUUCCCAAUUUUACAUAGGAUUUCGUCCCGGAACUUUGUCCUUCCCGUCCAUUGAUAUGGAGGGGACAGACCGAGUUCUGUGAUGGAAUCCUAUGUAAUAUCGGGCAGAGUAACGAAAGGGAGGAAGUACUUAAAAAGAUUAAGAAAAAAUUAAACAAAGAGAUGAACAAAUGACAGUAUACAAACUUAAAACAAAACAUUAAAAUUAAACACAUAAAAUAAACAAAAUAGUAAAGAAAGUAUACUUACAAAAUAACAUGAUUUAUUUAGGGAACACAGAGAGAACAUGCAACAUGGGAGAAAGUUGAGAGAUUUCAAAGUUUUAUGAUUUUGAAUGCCUCAUACUAGUACAAGUUGAAAGCCUUAAAUAGGCUUCAAAAUUGCUGACUAAUCUAACAUACUAUGAUAUCUAUUUUACAUGUAUGUAUACCCUAAUACACCUCAUUUUUUUUAACCUGUAACUACUACCUACUAAAAUAACUGAUGAUAAUUUUACGUGGCUUGGAAUAGGUUACAUGUUAGCUGAAACUACUUAUGUAGACUUUACUUCAUGUUUAUCUUCUUUUGUUGAAAUAUUAUCUUCAAAGUAUAUUUUGAUAUUUUGUCCUCUUGUUACUUUCUGAUUUUAUUCCUGCGGGGGUCACAUAUUGGUACAACUGUUGACAUAAUGCUGAUUUUUAUAAUGGUGUUCCAUAAUAUAUCUUUGUAUGUAGGGUCCACUUUUGAAUAUUUUUUUUGUUGAUAUUUUUGUUGUUUAUCAUAAAAGUAUGCUGGAAUUUUCUUUUAAUUCAGAAGGUAUUCUUGUGCUAUUCCUUGUAGAUCUAACAUAUUUCCAAUGCUAAUAUCGUCAUGGGAGGCAACAGUCUCUAAUAACUCAAAUUUGAUUCCGUAUAAGUGUGGCGGUUUAGUAAGACUUCUUCGAGCCUUCUUUUCAAUGUUUCUUUUGAGUGUUCAUAAUCCCUUCGGGGUGAUAAACUUGUACUUAAAUUAUCAUUGCGGACAGCUGACGCCUAUCCUUUGAUCUUAAUGAUUUUUCUUAAAUAUUUGAUCCUCUCAAAUUCACAAAGGUCAAAAGACCAAAAAAUAAUAUAAGUUAUUCUUUUGGCAAUAUAGAACUUGCAUAAUUUAGUAUUUUUCUGAUAAGGUUGAUAUAUUUCUCUCUACCUGAACUUAUUAAGUUGUAUUCAAUGUUGAGUUUAUAAUAAUUGUUUAUUUCCUUCAAUAUGACUCCACCAUUUGUAAAACCAUCGGAGAAUAAUUGCGGUCUUAAUUUCUUCUAAAUAUUUGAUAAACCAGGUGUAGGUACCUGGUGUAGCAAAAAUAAAUUUAUAUCAGGAUGCUUUAUAAUCAUACCCUUUAUAUGUCUGGAGUUGACGAGAUUAUCAUAAGUGCAUAGGCGUAUGUAGAUGAUGUAAUGAUCCAAAAAGUCAUUUAAAAAAAUUAUAUGAAAUUUCAAUUGUUACCUAUAUCGAUAGUUGCCUCGAGUAUUUUGAUUAGUUGGUUAAGUUGAUUUGAAAAUUUUAAACUAUUUAUUUAACUACAAUUACUUAAUUAAUGGACAUAUAUUAAAAAAAUUAUUUAAUUAGUUAAUUGUUAACGGGUCAAGUCCAUAGUAAUUUAAUACCUUAUAGACCUCUUAAACCAACUUUAUUAAACUAAUAAAGUAAGUAGGGUUUACUAUUUUGAAGUCAUUAACUAUUAAAAGGAACAGUGGCGGAAAACAACUACGAAUGCUCCAUAUCCCUAUGGUCGGUAUGCUCGUCCCUUUGAAAUAUUUUGUUAUCAAGUUAAUUGAUAAGCAUAUAUCUUAAUAUAUUAUUAUAAUACAUUGGUUAGAUAAAGAAUGGAAGGACAUAACGUGUUGGCUGGACGUUUAUAGAUAAUGUAAAGCUUAUAUAGUUGAAUUAAUGACAACAAUUCAUAUAUUUGUUUAACUUAAUAAAUUGCAGAAAUUGAAAGUUAGAAUAAAAAUGAGAAGGCACGUUUAUGGAUUAUUGAGAGGACAUGCAUUUUUUUUAUUUAUUUGUAAUGAUUAGAAAAUUAUAUUUCAUCAAUAAUUAGAAGGAUGAGAUGGAGUAUUUAACUAAUUACUUUUUUGGAUGCAUGUUACUGGUUUUGGUAGUUUCACCACGAACUUGACUUCUUCUUAUGAUUAUCUUAUAAAAAAAUUAAGUGUUAAUAAUAUUCAAAAUAAAUAAUUAAAUAUUAGAUAUAUUGUAUUAUAUCAUUAUUAUUAAACUAUCAUAUUGAGGGAAUUAUAAAUAAACCCUAGACUUGAAAAUUGGAGUAAAUUGAAAAGUUUACAUGUUAAUAGGCAUUAAGAUUAAGAAUUGGAUUAUAGUAAUACAGAUGUUUUUAAAUUAGAAAUCUCAUUUUGAAUACCUACUUGAAUAGAUUGCAUUGAUUUGGAAGUUUAACAGAAGAGGAAGGCUCAUGUUCUGGAGUGAAUUCUUGAUUGGUUGAGGCAAGUAGAUUUGUAAACUCUAGUUAAGUGUAUGAAAUUUGUGUAUUUAUUUGUGGUAUAUGUGUGGGAGUAAUGGGACUUGGUGAUGGGUUUACUUGUCCACAUUGAUUAAUUCUAAUGAUGAAAACAAAGUGUAGUAAAAGGCAAUGUGAAUAAUUGCUUGUGAGAUGUGUUGAUAAUAAAGAAUGGUUUGAAAAGUUUGUUGAAUCAUUGUUGAUGUUGUUUUGAAUUGUGCAGUGUUAUGAAAGUUGUCAUAUCCUCUUUACAUGUGUGAACAUGUCAUUUGCAUUAUUGUAAGACAUGGUUGUGAAAGUGUUAUGUGUAUUGAGAAAGAAUGACAACUUAAAAAUGAUGUACUAUUUCGAGAGACGCAUCGCGCGCCGUGAUGGUUACUAUUAUUGAGGGUCGUGUUGUAAGCCACGACAGAUGCAUGGACAGAUAUUUUCCCCAUGGGUCUCGGACUGACAGACAGCGGGUGUGUAUCACUAGGUCAGACAUGCAUCAUUAUACUUGACAUUGUAUUCCAUUGCAUUACACAUAUUUAUCAUUAGUGAACUUGAUAUCGUGUUUUUUUGAUCUUCUAAUUAUCUUUCUGUGGAACUUGUGAUUGAUCAAUAUUGAGCUUGUAAUUGCGGAUAUAUAAUUUGUUGAAGUAUUGUUGUUGAGGAUAUGUAAUUUGUUGAAGUGUUGUUGUUGAGGAUAUGUAAUUUGUCUAAGUGAUGUUGUUGAGCUACGUGCUAUGUAAACUGUGAGUUGUUAGGCUGGGUUGAUUUUUAAUGCAGGUUGUAGUUGCGGAGGUUCGGUUGGGGGUGGUAGGAGUACCACUAUUUCAUCCCCUUUGCUUGUGAUUAGAGGUUUACUUGUUGAGUACCGUGUGGUUUGGUACUCACCCCUUGCUUCUACAAAUUUUUGUUGGUUAUGAGACUGAAUUUUUGUUAUACUUGUCAUUCUCUUCUUUUCUGAGGCUUCUUGGAGAUUUGUGAGGUAGUUGUUUCCGUCCCAUCAGACUUUCUUCUCCAUAAUUAUGAUCUUGUUCUAUUCUAGAAACAAGUUGAUUUGAGACUUGUGUUUUUCUUUUGAAUCAAUUGUAAUACUUUAGAGGCUUUUACACGUGACUACUAGAUUUUCGGGGUAUAAUGUAAGUUGAUAGUAAAUUUUCCGCAUUUUUAUUGAAAUAGUUGAGUUUUAGGAUGACUUGUCUUUAUGGGAUAAGACGAGUACCAUCAUGUCCAUUUUAGGUCGUGAAAAAAAUUGUAUCAGAGCCCCAUGUUCAUAAGUAUCACGUGUAUACAAGUCGAGUCUAACUAGAGUCUUGAGGAUAGGUAUGGAGACGUCUAUACUUAUCUUCGAGAGGCUAUAAUGACAUUUAGGAAAAAUAACUCCACUUCUUGAAUCUCUCUCGUGCAUCAUUGUCCGUUCUGAUUCUUAUUGCGUUAUUUCAUUAUCUCUCACCUAUUUUGAUGAGUCGUGUGUGGUUCCUUAAGUUUGAAGUUGGUGUUUCCUAUAUGGUUUGGAGGUUAGACCUGAUAAUAAGAUGAAAAAGAUGCGUGAUCAGAUUUGAAAUGUUCAAUUUGAAACAAUUGAAUUAGGUGAUGCCUUGGCGAUGAUUUUCGUAGAAUUUCUAAAUGGUGAGGUUGAACAAUGGUCUGAUGAACUUCAUGAAUGUGUUAUCCUCUUCAGGUUAGUUUACCCAACUGAGGGAAUAAUAGUUAGUGGUAUAGAUAAUAUCUGGAGUGGUUUGACAAGUUGAAAUGGAAUGAUUAAAAUGAUGGCUUGAUAACAAAUAGUAUAACCUUGGAAAAUACAAUUGGCAUAGUUGUCAUAACAUAUAUGGAUUUCUUAGAGAAUAAUGUUGCAUUAAUCAAGGUUAGAGUCUUUCAUAGAUUGAGUGUAUAUAAAAAAGGUUGAUAGUACGACUACUAUACUAGUACCGAUUCUUACUUGUUUCGAGUUAGAGAAUGUGUACUCUUAUUAUUGACCUGAGCUACGAAGGAAUGCAUAUAGUGUUGGAAAACAAAUCAAAUAAAUUUGAUAGUGUAUGUUAGUUCCUUAAUGGGGCAGAAAUGUGUAGGCUAUUUGGGUACAAUAUUCUCCAUAGUUAUAAGGUUUUGUAGUAAUGGAUUUAACAAACUUAACAAUGUGGUACUAGUGGCUUAUGGAAAUGAAUAAAGUGAUGUCAAGUGUGAGUACUAACUAAUUAAAGAGUUAUCAAUAGUAUCACAUGCUCGUAUAAUGAUAUUCGAUGUUGUAUUCACAUUUGAGAAACCAACUAACUUGUAACUACAGACAAAUAAGUCAAGCAUUGUUUGUAAGGGGAAUUUUUAGUGGUGGAUUUUCGAUUUCAUAUUAAUGUGUUUAGGUUGUUGAGUGUAUCUUGAGAUAUUUAACAAAGGACAAGUGAUUUCAUCAUAAGCUCCAAUUUAAUGAAUUAAUGUUGAAAUGCCAAGCUUGUGGGUAAAGGAAGUCCUAACGUGUAUAAUUGUGUGAAGGCAAUUGAGAAUUUUAGUAAGAAAUUAUAUAAGAUUGAAUUAGAUUGAAUUAGAUUGGUAUAGAUGGGUUUGAAAUGUCAUGAACCUUAAAAGGUUGACUCUGAGAUGAGAAAAAUGUCUAAUGAGCAUAACGAUAUUAAGAAUUUGUAAUGAAAUAGUAAUUCAGAUGCAACUAUAUGAUAAAGAUUGUUGGUUAAACAAAUUUUGUAUGGUAAUAACUACUUGAAAGUAUCUAAUAUAGUAGUUUCCACUAUUUGAUGAGUAAUGUUGUUGUAUAGAGAGUCUAAGAAUAUGUAGAGACACUGCUCGCAUUAAAUUUGAAGCAUCUACAGUCAUACUGAAAAAAGUGUGGAAUGUAGUGGAGCCUUCAGAAAGUGGUGAGAGUAAGUUUAUUUUUUUCUUAUUGCAAAGUCUAAAGGGGUGUCUUCAAAUGGAUUGAGAACUGGGUUUAGAGACAUGUCAUUUAUUUCAAUUUGCUUUGGUUAUGAUAAUAAUGUCACAGGUUUAUCAAAUUGGUUAAAAACUACUGGAUAAGACUUGAGAAAGGAGUGUAUAUACGUUCAACUCGAGUGUGAUUAUAAAUUCUAUUGUGAUCUUGAGUUUGAUAAUUAGUAUAAUGGUUCAAUUUUUACCGAAGGAUAUGAUAAGAUCGAUAGAAAGGCAAAAUGAAAAGGUAAUACAAAUGAAUUCAUAAGAAUCUUCGAGGUAUGUGUUAAUGUUAAUAAUGAUGGGAUUGUGAUACAUGGUUGGCAAUUUUUUUUUUUAGAUUUUCAUUGUGAGUUAUAAUUCUGGUAGUGUUAUUUUUCAAUGUAUGGAUUGGUAAGGUAAUAAAUGUCGAUCACAGUGAGUAUAAAGCACUUGGCAAGACUUAAAAGUAUUGGAUUAGUAAAUUUUGUUACUUUUCAUUGUUAUACUUAACGGGGGUUUCAAUAUAUCUGUAACGACCUAUUUAGUCAUUUUGAGCAGUAGAGUAUUUCUGGUAAUAAUUGUCUGAGUCGACGGAUCCCACGAUGGACCGUCAUGGCCACGACGGACUAUCGAGGGUGUCUACUUCCAAAACACUUAGAAUUCUUAAAUUUGGGUAAUCAGAUAGACUUUCUGAACUUCACGAGGAAAUGGCAGGACGGACCGUCACAGGCACGACGGGCCGUCACAAACUCUUCAAGGAAUUGAGUCUCCGAACUUUAUGACGGAAGCAGCAGGAUGGACCAUCGCAGGCACGACGGGUCAUCACAGUCUGCAUAACCCUGCCUGGGUCGGAUUUCUGUUAAAUGUUUUGAGGGGCGUUUUGGACUAUUCCUGCUUAUAAUUAUAAAGUUAGUGGUUUAAUGUUAAUAAUUCAAUUACUUGGGGGGUUAAAGGAGAUAUCCUUGAAUUAAUUAGUGGGUUAUUUUUAUCAUCUUUUAUACUUAAUUAUAUACUAAUUAGGGUAAAAGAAAAAGGGUUUUGAAUAAGAAAAAUAGAAAGAACACAGAGAGAAAGGGAGAAACGAUCGAGAGAGAGAGAGAGAGAGAGGAACGAAAAGGACAACAGAGCUUUGGGGAAUUAGCUUGUUUGAUCGUCAUUCUUCGGUGGAGGUAGGUUAUGGUUUAUGCUUUUCAUAGUAAACUCUUAAUACCAAAUGAUAUGUGUUGGGUAGUAUUGUAAAGUCUUCUAUAUGCUUAAUUUUGUGCAUGCAUGAUAUGAUUAUGUAAUUGUAAUGAAUUAGUAUGAUGAGGCUGUAGAAUCCUAAACCUUGAAACCUCUUUGUUAAUGAUGAUGCCUUGGUAUAAAAGAAGGCUUGAUGAACUAAAAGAAUGAGGUUAGUGGAUCGGGUGUCAUGUUCCGGCACUAGGAUAGAAAUAGUGGAUCGGGUGUCACGUUCCGGCACCAGGAUAGAAAUAGGGGAUAGGGUGUCACGUUCCGACACCAAGAUAGUAUUAAUGGAUCGGGUGUCACGUUCCGACACCAGGAUAGUAUGAUGAGGAUCAGAGUGUCACGUUCUGACACCAGGAUAGUAUGAUGAGGAUCAGAGUGUCACGUUCCGACACGUGGAUAGUAUGAUGAGGAUCGGAGUAUCACGUUCCGACACAAGGAUAGUAUGAUGAGGAUCAGAGUGUCACGUUCCGACACCAGGGUAGUAAAGAGAAUGAAUUUUGAAAUAUGUUAAUAUACUCAAUUUAAUGAACCUUUUCCUAAAUGAGUAUGGUAUGGAGGCUUGAGUUCUCAUGGGUGUACUUGAUGUUAUUUAUCAAUGAUUCUUGCACAUUGUUGGUUCUACCUGUUGAGUAUUAUAGUUAAUUUUAUGAUAUUAUCUUAUAUAUAUUGCUUUCUAUUUUGAGUUGGCCGAUGAUACCUACUCAGUACUUGUGUUUUGUACUGACCCCUACUUGUAUUUGUUUUUCUUUGUUAAUUGUGGAGUACAACAAAUGUACCAUCAUUUUCAACUCAACCGCAACUCUAGCCAGUCUUCAUCACGCAAGAUUUAAGGGUGAGCUAUUGCUUCUAGCUUGGACUGGAUCUUCUUCUUCAUGUCUUGAUGCCUUGAAAUUCCUGCAUGGACUAGCUUUUUACUUAUUUUAGCUCCUUACAUACUCUUAGAUUUAGUAAUUUGAGGAUAGAUGUUCUUGUGAUGAUGACUUCCAGGUGUUGGGAUAGAAAUUGAUAAAUUUUAGAAGUUAUUUACUUGAUUUCAUUAAUGAGUUUUAAGUCUUCCGCAUUAUAUUUUGUUCAUUAUGGUUGAAUGUUGGGGUUUGGAUUGGUUGGUCCGCUCACAUAGGAGGGUAAAUGUGGGUGCCACUCACGACACGUUUUGGGUCGUGACAAACUUGGUAUCAGAGCAUUAAGUUCGUUGGUCUCAUAACACAAGAACGAGUCUAGUAGAGUCUUAAGGAACGGUAGAGGGACGCCUUUACUUUUCUUUGAGAGGCUAUAGGACUUAAGGAAAAUUCCAUUCUUUCUUUCUUUCGUGCUAUUACUUGGAUCCAAUUGGUAUCUAGGUGAUACAAUUUGGUAUCUGACCAUCUUCACUCUAUUUCGCAGAUGGUUAGAACUAGAGCAACAACUGCACCAAAACCAACACCGGCAAGACAAGAUGCGUCUAAGCCAGCCACAAGGGCUGUAACUCGAAGAGGAGUAGUGGCAAGAGGCCGUGGAAGAGGUCGCGGGAGGAGGUCCUCUAGAGGAAGAGGACAAGCACCUAGCCCAUCUGGUACUAGAGCGGUGACUCCUCCACCGACUGAGGAAGUAGUAUGAGAGAGUGAGGAAGGAGAAAAUUAGCAAGUGCAGAAUGAGGAAUUACCACCCCAACCUACCCCAGAGAUGAUUAAUAAGGUUCUUGCCUAUCUUCACGGGUUAUCUAAUCAAGGCCAAACACCUCAAGUGUUUUCUGCACCAGCACCUCAGGUUCUGGAGGUACAAAAUACAGCUACUGUGGCUCCCCGCAUGGAUGCCUCAUUGGAAAUAGGCACGUUUCCUCGGUUGACUACACGGCCUAUAAUGACAAGUGAUCAGCAUGAACUUUUCAGUAAGUUUUUGAAAUUGAAACCUCCAGUCUUCAAGGGUGCUGAAUCUGAGGAUGCCUACGAUUUUCUAGUUGACUCUCAUGAGUUAUUACAUAAAAUGGGCAUAGUGGAACGAUUUGGUGUUGAGUUUGUAACCUAUCAGUUUCAGGGGAAAUGCCAAAAUGUGGUGGCCGUCACAUGUUAAGUGUCAACCCGCACAAGCACCACCAUAUGACUUGGGCGUCAUUCUCUAGCUUAUAUAUGGAGAAGUAUAUCCCCUGGACCUUGAGGGAUAGAAGGAGAGAUGAGUUCUUGAGCCUAGAGCAAGGUAGGAUGUCAGUUACUGCAUACGAGGCUAAGUUUCGUGCACUAUCCAGGUAUGCCACCUAGCUUUGUUUCAGUCCACAAGAGCUGAUUCGCCGUUUUGUGAAGGGGUUGAGGUUAGAGCUGCGGAUUUCAGCCUUACAGGUAGCGGCUAAAGCAAAAUCCUUUCAGGAAGUGGUAGACUUCGUGAUAGAGGUAGAGGGAGUGAAGUCAGAUGACUUCGCCAUGACAUUGACAUAAAAAAGGUUUCGUAAGGGAGGUGAGUUUAAUGGUUAUUACUCCAGAGGACAGGGUUCAGGAGGUUACACAGUUCGACCAAUUCAGUCCUCACUAUAGGCUGUAGCUGGGGGUCUACCGCAGACCGGUCAACGUUUCUCUGAGUUUGGUGGUUAUCCCCAGACUUCGUCAUUCUCAGAGAGAGCUAUGCUUGAAUCCAGAGAGUGUUAUGGAUGUGGGGUGACUUGACACAUUAAGAGGUAUUGUCCAAAAGAGAGUUACAGACCUCCAAUAGUCAUAGGUAGAGGUGGUCAUGGAAGAGGACGUCAUUCUGGAGGACGUGGUGGUCGAGGUAAUGGUGGUCACCAAAACGGCUAGGGUGAAGGGAAAAUUGGAUUCACUACAGCACAACAUGGUAAGGGCAACAGGCAGACAGGUGAUAGGGCCCAUUGUUACGCUUUCCCCGGGCGGUCUGAGGCAGAGAAAUCUGAUGCUGUUAUCACAUGUAAUCUUUUGGUUUGCGAUUGCAUGGCUUCUGUAUUAUUUGAUCCUGGCUCUACAUUUUCAUAUGUAUCUUCCUCAUUUGCUACUUGUCUUAAUAUACCUUGCGAAUUGCUUGACAUGCCUAUUCGUGUUUCUACUCCGGUGGGUGAGUCUGUGAUAGUUGAAAAGGUAUAUAGGUCUUGUCUGGUGACUUUUCUGGGGAGCAAUACUCAUGUAGACUUGGUUAUCUUAGAAAUGGUUGAUUUUGAUGUAAUUCUGGGUAUGACUUGGCUUUCUCCAAAUUUUGCAAUUCUGGAUAGUAAUGCUAAAAUUGUAACAUUGGCCAAGCCUGGGACAGAUCCGUUAUUAUGGGAGGGUGACUACACUUCCACCCCGGUUCGUAUCAUCUCCUUCCUUCAUGCUAAGAGAAUAAUUAGAAAGGGUUGUUUAGCUUUCUUGGCACACCUCAGGGAUGAUACUACUCAAGUACCUUCAAUUGAGUCGGUUUUGAUAGCCUGUGAGUUUCUGGAUGUGUUUCCUGCAGACCUUCCUGGUAUGCCACCGGAUAGAGAUAUUGACUUCUGCAUUGAUCUUGAACUGGGUAAUCGCCCCAUUUCUAUACCCCCUUAUAGAAGGGCUCCCGCUGAGUUAAGAGAGUUAAAGGCUCAACUUCAAGAAUUGUUAGGAAAAGGCUUCAUUCGACCAAGUGCAUCCCCUUGGAGUGCUCCUGUUUUGUUUGUGAAGAAGAAGGAUGGAAGCUUUCAAAUGUGCAUAGACUAAAGACAACUGAAUAAGGUAACCGUUAAGAACAAGUAUCCUCUUCCUCGCAUCGAUGAUUUGUUCGAUCAGUUACAAGGUGAUUGUACCUUCUCAAAAAUUUAUUUGAGAUCUUGUUAUCAUCAAUUGAAAAUACGGGCAAUGGAUGUGCCCAAGACUUCUUUUCGGACCAGGUAUGGGCAUUAUGAGUUCUUAGUAAUGUCUUUUGGGCUUACGAAUGCCCCUGCUGCUUUCAUGAGCUUGAUGAAUGGGAUUUUUAAGCCAUAUCUGGACCUCUUUGUCAUUGUAUUCAUUGACGAUAUACUGGUAUACUCAAAGAGCAAGAAAGAACAUGAGGAGCACUUGAGAAUUGUAUCGGAAAUGUUAAGGGAGAAAAAGCUUUAUGCCAAAUUCUCCAAUUGUGAGUUUUUGCUAGAUUCAGUGUCCUUCUUGGGACACGUAGUUUCUGAGUAUGGAUUGAUGGUGGAUCCUUCUAAGAUCGAAGAAGUGAAGAGUUGGGUAAGACCUACUAAUGUUAUAGAGGUAAGGAUCUUCGUUGGUUUAGCUAGCUACUACCGUCGAUUUGUCAAGGGUCUUUCUUCUGUUGCUUCCCAAUUGAAAAACCUGACUAAGCAGAGUGUUCAAUUUGUAUGGUCGGACGAGUGUGAAGAAAACUUUCAGAAGCUCAAGACCUUCUUGACUACUGCACCAAUCCUUACCCUGCCGGUGAAAGGUAAGAAUUUCAUUGUCUAUUGUGAUGCAUCCUAUUCGGGUUUGGUUGCAGUGCUAAUGCAAGAGAAGAAUGUAAUUUCUUAUGCUUCGAGGCAAUUAAUGGUGCAUGAACGUAAUUAUCCGACCCAUGAUUUGGAGUUGGCUGCGGUAGUGUUUGCAUUAAAGCAAUAGAGGCACUAUCUAUAUGGGGUUAAGUGUGAAGUUUAUAAAGAUUACCGUAGUUUAUAGUAUGUCUUUUCUCAGAAGGAUUUGAAUUUAAGAAAGAGGAGGUGGAUGGAACUACUGAAACACUAUGACAUCACUAUCUUGUAUCAUCAAGGAAAAGCUAACGUUGUGGCAGAUGCUUUAAGUAGAAAGGCAGGGAGCAUGGGAAGUCUAGCUCACUUGCAGGUUUCUAGACGCCCAUUGGCUAGAGAAGUUCAGACUCUGGCUAAUAACUUUAUGAGGCUGGAAGUAAAUGAGGAGGGAGGAUUUUUGGCUUGCGUGGAGGCAAGAUCUUCCUUUCUUGACUAGAUUAAAGGAAAGCAGUUUACUGAUGAGAAACUGAUCCGGAUUCGAGAUAAGGUAUUGCUAGGAGAGGCUAAAGAAACAAAAAUCGAUGAGGAAGGUGUUUUGAGAAUUAAGGGAAGGGUAUGUGUACCUCGCGUCGAUGAUUUGAUCCACACUAUUCUAACAGAGGCUCAUAGUUCAAGGUUUUCUAUACAUCCUGGUGCAACCAAGAUGUAUCGUGACCUAAAGCAACAUUUUUGGUGGAGUAGAAUGAAGCGUGACAUUGUUUACAUUGUUGCUCAAUGCCCGAAUUGUCAGCAAGUAAAGUAUGAACACCAAAGGCCUGGAGGGACACUUCAGAGAAUGCCCAUUCCUGAAUGGAAGUGGGAGAGAAUUUAAAUGAAAUUUGUGGUUGGUCUUCCAAAGACAAUGGGUAAGUAUGACUCCAUUUAGGCAAUUGCUGAUAGGUUAACUAAGUCUGCUCACUUCAUUCCGGUCAAGGUGACUUACAAUGCAGAAAAGUUAGCCAAACUUUACAUCUCGGAAGUUGUUCGAUUGCAUGGGGUUCCACUCUCCAUCAUAUCAGAUAGAGGUACGCAGUUUACUUCUACGUUUUGGAAAACAUUGCAUGCGAAAUUGGGUACUAGGUUGGACCUUAGUAUUGCGUUCCAUCCUCAGACCGAUGGUCAGUCUGAGCGAACGAUUCAAGUGUUGGAGGAUAUGCUUCGUGCAUGUGUGAUAGAAUUUGGUGGCCAUUGGGACAACUUCUUACCCGUAGAAGAGUUUUCAUACAAUAAUAACUAUCACUCAAUUAUUGAUAUUGCCCCAUUUGAGGCACUGUAUGGAAGAAUAUGUAGAUCUCCCAUUGGGUGGUUUGAUGCAUUUGAGGUUAGACCUUGGGGUACUAACCUCCUGAGGGAAUCGUUAGAUAAAGUGAAAUGCAUUCAGGAAAAGCUUCUAGCGGAUCAAAGUAGGCAGAAGGAAUAUGCAGAUCGGAAGGUUAAAGACUUGGAGUUUAUGAAGGGUGAGCAAGUCUUGCUGAAGGUUUCACCCAUGAAAGGAGUGAUGCGGUUUGGUAAGCGAGGUAAACAUAGUCCUAGGUACAUUGGUCCAUUUGAUGUUUUGAAGCACGUGGGUGAGGUAUCUUAUGAAUUGGCCUUACCCCCAGGACUGUCAUCAGUGCAUCCGGUAUUUGAUGUGUCUAUGUUGAAAAGAUACCAUGGGGAUGAAAACAACAUCAUUCGUUGGGAUUCAGUCCUGCUUGAUGAGAAUUUGUCUUAUGAGGACGAGCCUGUUGCUAUUUUAGAUAGAGAAUUCCAAAAUUUGAGGUCAAGAGAGAUUGCAUCUAUCAAGGUUCAGUGGAAGAAUCGGCCGGUUGAAGAAUCCACUUGGGAGAAAGAGGCUGAUAUGCAAGAAAGAUACCCACACCUGUUUACAGAUUCAGGUACUCCUUUUCGCCCUUGUUUUCCUUAUUGUGAUCAUUCGGGGACAAACAAUGGGUAAAUUGGUAUCUAUUGUAACGACCUGUUUAGUCGUUUUGAGCAGUAGAGUAUUUCUGGUAAUAAUUGUCUGAGUCGACGGAUACCACGACAGACCGUCAUGGGCACGACGGACCGUCGACGGUGUCUAGUUCCAAAACACAUAGAAUUUUGAAAUUUGGGUACUAAGAUCGACUCUCUGAACUUCGUGAUGAAAUGGCAGGACGGACUGUCACAGGCACGACGUGCUGUCACAGACUCUUCAAGGAAUUGAGUCUCUGAACUUUGUGAUGGAAGCAGCAGGACGGACCGUCGUAGGAACGACGUACCGUCACAGUCUGCGUAACCCUGCCUGGGUCAGAUUUCUGUUAAAUGUUUUGAGGGGCAUUUUGGACUAUUCCUGCUUAUAACUAUAAAGUUAGUGGUUUAAUCUUAAUAAUUCAAUUACUUGGGGGUUAAAGGAGAUAACCUUGAAUUAAUUAGUGGGUUAUUUUUAUCAUCUUUUAUAAUUAAUUAUAUACUAAUUAGGGUAAAAGAAAAAGAGUUUUGAAUAAGAAAAAUAGAAAGAACAGAGAGAGAAAGGGAGAAACGAUCGAUCGAUCGAGAGAGGAAUGAAGAGGAAAACAGAGCUUUGGGGAAUUAGCUUGUUUGAUCACAAUUCUUUUGUGAAGGUAGGUUAUGGUUUAUGCUUUUCAUAGUAAACUCUAUAUAGCGAAUGAUAUGUGUUGAGUAGUAUUGUAAAGUCUUCUAUAUGCUUAAUUGUGUGCAUGCAUGAUAUGAUUAUGUAAUUGUAAUGAAUUAGCAUGAUGAGGCUGUUGAAUCCUUAACUUUGAAACCUCUUUGUUAAUGAUGAUGCCUUGGUAUAAAAAAGGCUUGAUGAACUAAAAGAAUGAGGUUAGUAGAUCGGGUGUCACGUUCCGUCACCAGGGUAGAAAUAGUGAAUCGGGUGUCACGUUCCGGCACCAGGAUAGAAAUAGGGAUCGGGUGUCACGUUCCGACACCAGGAUAGUAUUAAUGGAUCGGGUGUCACGUUCCGACACCAGGAUAGCAUGAUGAGGAUCGGAGUGUCACGUUCCGAUACCAGGAUAGUAUGAUGAGGAUCGGAGUGUCGUUCCAACACCUGGAUAGUAUGACGAGGAUCGGAGUGUCACGUUCCGACACCAGGAUAGUAUGAUGAGGAUCGAUGUGUCACGUUCCGACACCAUGGUAGUAAAGAGAAUGAAUCUUGAAAUAUGUUAAUAUACUCAAUUUAAUGAAUCUUUUCCCAAACAAGUAUGGUAUGAAGGCUUAAGUCCUCAUUGGUGUACUUGCCGUUAUUUAUCAAUGAUUCUUUCACAUUGUUGUUGCUACCUGUUGAGUAUUGCAGUUUUUUAUCAUAUUAUCUGAUAUAUAUUGCUUUCUAUUUUGUGUUGGCGAUGAUACCUACUCAGUACUUGUGUUUUGUACUGAACCCUACUUGUGUUUGUUUUUCUUUCUUUAUUGUAGAGUGCAGCAAACGUGCCAUCAUCUUCAACUCAACCGCAACUCUAGCCUGUCUUCAUCACGCCAGAUUUCAGGGUGAGCUAUUGCUUCUAGCUUGGAAUGGAUCAUCUUCUUCAUGUCUUGAUGCCUUGAAAUUUCGGCAUGGACUAGCUUUUAACUUAUUUUAGCUUCAUAGAUACUCUUAGAUUUAGUAAUUUGAGGAUAGAUGUUCUUGUGGUGAAGACUUCCAGGUUUUGGAAUAGAAAUUGAUAAAUUUUUGAUGUUAUUUACUUGAUUUCAUUAAUGAGUUUUAAGUCUUCCGCAUUA
rnacentral:lncRNA from 1 species